rnacentral:ncRNA from 1 species
GGCAACUGCCUCGAAAGGGGGGUGACUCAGUUGUACGAAAUUGUCUCAUUAAUCAUUGCCCCACUUUUUGUGGUUCUAGUAAUCGUGCUAGUUAAUCACUGGCUAGAUGAUUAGCAAUGAUUGAAACAGUUGCUUUUCUAGCUCCAACGCUGGAGUCGCAACAGUGAAAAG